GUGGAAAAAAAGCAUUCAUUGCUGAGGACCCACACAAGCCUAUAAAACCCCAAAGAAUGCUCUUUAUUACAAGAAAGACUGGCGUGCCAGAAGGCACUCCUAUUUUCAGCAGCUGAACUUGUAAAGCUGAGGAAGGGUGUGGGAAUCAGAAGGCUCAGCAAUAUGAAAAGAACCAAGAUUUCCUUAGGUUUUCAUUGAAUGUGGAGAUAUUUUUAAGUGCCCUGCCAAUGCUCUCUGACAAAAUGCUUGGGGGCUCUCUAUGAAUAUGUGGCUUCUUUUGGAGGAUUCAGGUUGAGGAGCUAAAAUAUGCCUCCUCCUUCAGAGGUGAGCUCCCCUCCAGCUGCCAAGGCCAAUAGUUCUGGAAGGGAAACAAGUUUCCAUACAAUUAAUUUUUGCCCAAUGAACUGUCUAAAGAUCACAGGACCAGGCAGGAAUUGGAAAAGAUCUGGGGCUCACAGGUUUCUUAAGGGACCACAUUAGCUACUGGCACUCCAGAUUGCUUGCACAACCAGCAACCUCUGUUCAUGUGGUGGGGCAGAGGCAUGGCUACAGGCUGCAGUCGUCCUCUAGGUGGGUUUGCUGGUAUUUCAACAGCCUUGGCCAGCAAACUGUGGACAGUGGCAGCUAACCACACAAGUGGGGGCAGAAGCCAGCAGCGUGGGUCUUGUGCUUAUGUGUGGGAUCAGACAGGUCCAGGCUCAUGCAACAUCACGCACCAAACAUGAAUCAACUGUGUGAUGUUCUUGCAAGAAAAGUAUUCUUGGCUGUACUUAUAGGAACAUAUUAGCUGAAGCAUGAAAGGUAAUUACGCCAUGCUACUAAUUGCUUAUGACUCUUCAGCUGUGCUCCUGUGUCCAUGAAUAGCAGUCCAAGGAACAGGCCCAUGACUUUAUUUGAAUCAAUGAAUUAAUCAAUGUACCUGCCAGAAGAUACUGACUUUGUGUUGGAAGAGUUUGACUAGAUACACUGAGAACUGACAACCUCCUGAAACACUGAAAAGGACUAUUUCGGAUUUGCUUUGGAUUGACAGAGUAGAGAUUUUCGAUAGAGCUGGGCCUGUCUGGGUGAAUCUGCUCCUUAGCCAAACAAAACAGAAGCUGAGAGGCAAUUCAACCACGGCCUAUAAACAAGUUCCAGACUACACACCAGCGGAGAAGAGAAGCUUCUCAUGAAUAUGUUUAUGCUGGAAAUUAGAAGGUUACCUAAUCCCCACAGCAAUGAUGCUUUGGAGCAACUCUUUACUAGAAGACUGAGGCAACACCAUUUUCAGAUGAGGCUUGAUUAGCUGCAAGGCCUGUCUAUGGUUGUAAGAUGACAAGUGACGGGCAGCAUGGGCCUAUCGAUGGGCUCCCUUCAAAACACUGCCUUACUUGUCAUGGUGGGAACCCUUGGAUGCUGAGUAUUCUGGAAAACUCAAUUUCCACUAGGAUUCUGAAAGUGACCAGAGGCUGCUCGUUAAGAUCAAUACCAGCCUGAGCUUUUCAAAUCUCCUUUCCCAAUGGUAUUAACGUGAGGCACCUGGAAGGAAAGAAAUAGACUAUGGAUCAUUGAUAACAG
ensembl:lncRNA